rnacentral:lncRNA from 1 species
CAAUCAGAAAAUUAAUGGAGAAUAUGAAUGAUGUUCUUUCUGCUAGCAAAGUGUGUAGAACGCCGCUAUGGUUUCUUAAUAGGAACAGCUGAAGAAGUAUUUUCAAUGGCAGACCAUUGCUCCUAUUCACACAUCAGGACCCUGAGGGUGUCAUUCAACACCCAAGGGCAAGAUGCGGAGCCGAACUCAGUAAUAGGAGGUGAUGAUAAAGCUGGAUUUGAGGGAAAUGUAGCAGGUUACAUCUCAGCUGCACUCUCAAUAUCUACUUUUUUUGUUAAGUUCUACUUUUUACACAUCCAAAACCUAAUCAGAUGUUAUUUCCUACUGCUCAUCUUUGAAAGAUGUUUACUAGUGCAAAGGAACUUCUGUCAGUGCUUUGAGCUGGACUAACUUGUUUGAAAGACGAUUCUGACAAAUCAUCUUGCUGUACCUCAAAGACAACUUUGUCACAUUGAAAGAAAUAUUUCCAAGCAAUUAUGAAAGAUAAAAAACAAAAACAAAGCCCAUAAGACUUAUGUCAGAGUAGGUCUUGUGCUUACUGUCCUGCAAUUCUAAUCCUGCUAAGCAUCACCUUUAGGAUUGGCAGAAAAGGAUUUUCACAUUCAUCUGGGAAAACAAAACAGAACUGUCACUUCCACUAGCGUAAUAUUGAGUCAUUCAUAUUUUAUAGUGGCGUUCUUUCAUGUUUGUUGAUAGGUUUGGAGAAAAUAAGAAACUUUUGACAUGUUUUAAGAAACAAACAAACCCCUACCACCCACAAAGAGAAACAAAGCACCAAUAAUUCAUGUCUUGUGGUGUUGAACCUAGUAUUUUAUGUUUGGGCUGGUCACUUAAAUUCAAGAAGGAAGGCAUAUUUAGAUUCUGUCCUAAGCUGUAGGAUCCCCAUUUGCUAGUUAAAUGGUGCAGUCCAGUAAGGAGCGCUGAGGCAUCAUUUGUUCACACCAGGGCGUUCCAGCUCCUGGCCAAAGAGGUGUGCUGCCACUGGGACUCAGGCAAAAGCCCCACCGGAGGGAAGGCCCGCUAGCUCUCAUGGAGUACAAUAAGAGGAACUGCCAAGGCUGGUCUGUGUUCUGCUUCCAGGCAAAAUGGGAUUUUGGAGAUGUUUAUAUGCACUGGAGCCUUCUAACGGUAUGAUGCCCAGUCCUGGUACAGACAGUUGCUUGUACAUAAAUAAUGAGUAUUAAACAUUUAAGUCAAUACUGUUUAAAUAAAUGUGUGUAUUCAUUGGGAGGUUUAUAACA